rnacentral:rRNA from 1 species
UGGGGAAUAUUGCACAAUGGGCGAAAGCCUGAUGCAGCAACGCCGCGUGAGUGAUGAAGGCCUUCGGGUUGUAAAGCUCUGUCUUCUGGGACGAUAAUGACGGUACCAGAGGAGGAAGCCACGGCUAACUACGUGCCAGCAGCCGCGGUAAUACGUAGGGGGCAAGCGUUGUCCGGAUUUACUGGGUGUAAAGGGUGCUCAGGCGGAUUUGUAAGUCAGAGGUGAAAUCUUACAGCUUAACUGUGAAACUGCCUUUGAUACUGCAAGGCUAUAGUAUGGAAGAGAGUGAUGGAAUAUCUGGUGUAGCAGUGAAAUGCGUAUAUAUCAGAUAGCACACCAAUGGCGAAGGCAGUCACUUGGUCCAUUACUGACGCUAAAGCACGAAAGCGUGGGUAGCAAACA